rnacentral:tRNA from 1 species
GUCCUAGUAGUGUACUUAUAACAAAGCCAUUGGUCUUGUAAGCCACCCUGAAUGGCGCUUGCACCAGUAGGGCA